rnacentral:sRNA from 1 species
UUAUAAAUUAGUAUUUUUAUUGUUAUGCAAAAUGUUAAUAUAAAUAUUUUCUAUAAAUCGGAUUUAUGCAUAUUUUAUGGAGUAAAAUUCACAGAAUUUUGUUUUUGAAGAUAUAUGGAAAGAUUGUGUAGAGAUUUUUAGAAAUAAAUUAGGCAAGAUAUCGUUUGGUUAAUAUCUUUUAAAAUUUUGUAAAACUAAAUAAUAAAUGCUAGUGACAGCCGUUGUAAAUAAGUCUGAACUCCAGGAUUUAUUUCACAAAAUGGUUGCAAAAAUGUAUAUGUAGAUUAGAUGAGGAUAAUUUGUUCAUUUUGUUCAAAAAAAAAAGGGAGAUUUGCAAAACUACCAUUUUUUACUACCCUUUUGCAACAAUACCCUUUUAUAUUGUUCAUUUUUAAAAAUAUCCCUUCUCUUGAACAGAAUGACCAAAUUACCCUCAUCUAAUAAGAACAUGUAAUUGGAAACUGAAAAUUUCCCGCCAAUAUUUAUUUUUCCCGCCAAAAAAAAAUUUCCGCCAAACUUUAUUUCCCGCCAAAAUUUUUUCUCGUAAAAUUUUUUUCCCAGCCAAAAUAAUGCUUUUAAAAAUCCUUAUAAAUUUUCUUAAAACUCUUUUAAAAAACCUUGUAAAGUUUUUUAAAAGCUUUGGUAGUUGCUAAAAACCCUUGUAAAUCAUUUUAAAACCUCUUAAAAUCUUUAUAAAGUCUUUAAAAACAUAGGUAAAUACUUUAAAACACCUUUUUAAACCUUUGUAAAUCAUUUCAAAAUUUCCACAAUAGUUUUACAAGAUUUACAAUCAUUUUUUAGCAUAAGUAAGUGGCAUUGAAUGAUUUACAAGGGAUUUUAAAAGCUUAUAAAAGGGUAAAACAUGAUUUACAAUCGUUUUUAAAGCAUAAGUAAGUGGCAUAUAAUGAUUUACAAGGAUUUUUAAAAAGGGUUAGCAUGGUUUACAAUAUUUUUUUAAGCAUAAGUAAGUGGCAUUGGAAUUAUUUACAAGGGAUUUUAAAAGCUUAUAAAAGGGUAAAACAUGAUUUACAAUCGUUUUUAAAGCAUAACUAAGUGGCAUAGAAUGAUUUACAAGGAAUUUUAAAAGUGUUUGUAUGGUUUACAAUCGUUUUAAAGCAUAAGUAAAUGGCAUUGAUUGAUUUACAAGAGAUUUUAAAAGGGGUUAACAUGAUUUACAAUCGUUUUAAAGCAUAAAUAAGUGUCAAAGAAUGAUUUACAAGGGAUUUUAAAAAAGGUUUGCAUGGUUUACAAUCGUUUUUAAAGGAUAAGUAAGUGUUAUAGAAUGAUUUACAAGGAUUUUAAAAGCUUAUAAAAGGGUAAAACAUAAUUUACAAGAGUUUUUUUAAAGAGUUUUAAAAGGAUUUACAAGGAUUUUAAACCUUUGUAAAUCCUUUUAAAACUCUUAUAAAGUCUUUAC